GACGAACGCUGGCGGCGUGCCUAACACAUGCAAGUCGAACGGAAAGGCCAUGCUUUUGUGGGGUGCUCGAGUGGCGAACGGGUGAGUAACACGUGAGUAUCCUGCCCUUGUCUUUCGGAUAACUUCAGGAAACUGGGGCUAAUACCGGAUAGGAUCUCCUGCUGCAUGGUGUGGGUUGGAAAGUUUCGGCGGUUGGGGAUGGAUUCGCGGCUUACGAGCUUGUUGGUCGAGUAGUGGCUUACCAAGGUUUCGACGGGUAGCCGGCCUGAGAGGGUGACCGGGGUCAAUAGGACUGAGAUAGGCAGCAGACGGCUACGGGAGGCAGCGGUGGAAAGUAUGACACAGUGAGCGGAAGCCUGUGGCGACGGCGCCGGGUGCGGAAUGCCGGCCUUCGGGGUGUGAACCGCUUUCGCCUGAGACGAAGCGUGAGUGACGGUAAUGGAUAAAGAAGCACCGGCUAACUACGUG
rnacentral:rRNA from 1 species